GUCCACGCCCUAACGAUGUCAACUGGUUGUUGGGUAUUUACUUACUCAGUAACGAAGCUAACGCGUGAAGUUGACCGCCUGGGGAGUACGGCCGCAAGGUUGAAACUCAAAGGAAUUGACGGGACCCGCACAAGCGGUGGAUGAUGUGGUUUAAUUCGAUGCAACGCGAAAACCUUACCCACCUUUGACAUGGUCGGAAGCCUUUAGAGAUAGAGGUGUGCUCGAAAGAGAGCCGAUACACAGGUGCUGCAUGGCUGUCGU
rnacentral:rRNA from 1 species